rnacentral:rRNA from 1 species
CCUCACUGCUAUCGGGAUGGGACUAAGACAUGCUAGUCGAGCGUCUCCAAGCUAUGGAAGAGACGCGGCACACAGCUCAGUAACACGUAGCUAACCUGCCCUUGGGACAAGGACAACUCCGGGAAACUGGGGCUAAUCCCUGAUAAGUGAGAACUCCUGGAAUGGAUUCUCGCUCAAAGGACGUUUAGACCAUGCUUCUAGGCGUCGCCCAAGGAGGGGGCCGCGACCGAUCAGGUUGUUGGUGAGGUAACGGCUCACCAAGCCUUUAACCGGUACGGGCCGUGAGAGCGGAAGCCCGGAGAUGGGCACUGAGACAAGGGCCCAGGCCCUACGGGGCGCAGCAGUCGCGAAAACUCCGCAAUACACGAAAGUGUGACGGGGCUAUCCCGAGUGCCAUCCGCUGAGGAUGGCUUUUCCCCAGUGUAUAAAGCUGGGGGAAUAAGGAGAGGGCAAGCCUGGUGUCAGCCGCCGCGGUAAUACCAGCUCUCCGAGUGGUGGGGAUGUUUAUUGGGCCUAAAGCAUUCGUAGCCUGCUUGGCAAGUCCUCCGUUAAAUCCAACGAUUCAAUCGUUGGGCUGCGGGGGAUACUGUCCGGCUAGGGGGCGGGAGAGGCCGACGGUAUCCUCGGGGUAGGGGUGAAAUCCUAUAAUCCCGGGAGGACCACCAGUGGCGAAGGCUGUCGGCUAGAACGCGCUCGACGGUGAGGGAUGAAAGCUGGGGGAGCGAACCGGAUUAGAUACCCGGGUAGUCCCAGCUGUAAACGAUGCAGGCUAGGUGUUGGCGCGGCUACGUGCCGCUCCAGUGCCGCAGGGAAGCCGUUAAGCCUGCCGCCUGGGAAGUACGGCCGCAAGGCUGAAACUUAAAGGAAUUGGCGGGGGAGCACCACAAGGUGUGAAGCUUGCGGUUU